CCUACGGGAGGCUGCAGUGGGGAAUAUUGCACAAUGGGCGCAAGCCUGAUGCAGCCAUGCCGCGUGUGUGAAGAAGGCCUUCGGGUUGUAAAGCACUUUCAGCGGGGAGGAAGGCGUUAAGGUUAAUAACCUUGUCGAUUGACGUUACCCGCAGAAGAAGCACCGGCUAACUCCGUGCCAGCAGCCGCGGUAAUACGGAGGGUGCAAGCGUUAAUCGGAAUUACUGGGCGUAAAGCGCACGCAGGCGGUCUGUCAAGUCGGAUGUGAAAUCCCCGGGCUCAACCUGGGAACUGCAUUCGAAACUGGCAGGCUAGAGUCUUGUAGAGGGGGGUAGAAUUCCAGGUGUAGCGGUGAAAUGCGUAGAGAUCUGGAGGAAUACCGGUGGCGAAGGCGGCCCCCUGGACAAAGACUGACGCUCAGGUGCGAAAGCGUGGGGAGCAAACAGGAUUAGAUACCUAGUAGUC
rnacentral:rRNA from 1 species